rnacentral:misc_RNA from 1 species
UUAAGUUCAGCGGGUAUUCCUACCUGAUCCGAGGUCAACCAUAGAAGUGUUUUCCGGCCGAGGACGCCCUGCACCAGAACGAGAUGUAUUACUACGUUCAGCUUCGGGGCGAGCUCGCCGCUGUCUUUAGGGGGCUGCAUCGCAGGUCCCCAACACAAGCCGGGGGCUUGAUGGUUGAAAUGGCGCUCGAACAGGCAUGC